UUCGAUACCCUGCAUGUGUAUUUUAAUGAACUUUUGAGUUUUAACUAAUACUAUUAGCAUUUAGCGUAGCGCAUUUGCAUUUCCAGAGCUCUAGUUGGGACGCAAGCGUCCCGAGUAGAAGCAACAGGUUAAAGGUCAGUACCCUGUCUAGCCUGCCAGAUGUUUGAGAGGGUGAAGACUGUGGCACCGUAGUUGAAGCCCAUCAAAGUUGUUUCACCAUGGCACAUGAUCACAUGAUCUCUAAGUGACCACAUCAGAGUUCAAUAUUGUGGAAUGUGUGUGUGUGUCAGUAUCCUUACAAAUGUGAACAUCUGCAGACUGUAUGACACAGAUACGGUAAGAAUAAAGUAAUCUUCCCUCUAACACUUUAAAUGUUAGGGGUGGACCUCAUCGGACCCUUCACAAAAUCCAAGAAUGGCAACAGCUGGUGUCUGACGGCAACCAAUCACUUUACCAAGUGGGUGGAGGCAAUUGCCAUUCAGGUCAGUAAAGUAAGAGUAUGUGCUUAACUCUAAAUUCCCUCAUGUAACCCAUUAAAAAGGUGGCUUGAAACCAAAAAUAGAUUUACAUUUUGUAUGAUACCCAUCAAGGGAGAGACUGGCAAGGCCAUCUCCAAGGCAAUAAUGGACAUCUUCAAUACCCAUAUUUCUCCUGAGGUCAUCUUGAGUGACCGAAGUCAAGAAUGCUGGAACAAGGUUUGGUGAAUGGACCAACGAGACCGUCAAGACUGCCUUGAUUGGUACCAGGAAGUGUGGGAGAACAACCUGAAGGUGAACAUGGACAAGGCGCAGGAGAAACAGAAGGACAGCUACCGGAGCAGAAUCAAGAAGGGUCCCAAGUGCUACGACAUCCGGGUGACUUACUUGGUUUGGAAGAAGGACGAAAGAAAGGCGAGACCUGGGAAUACCUCGCUGCUCUUUCGCUCCUAGUUGGGGUCACCAUCUGUUAAGGAUUACCGCGGUGGAAGCCAACAAUCUACUCCAGCUUGAGCAGUUGGACGGUCGACCACUGAAUGCACUGACGCCCUACACUUCAGUGAAGCCCAAUAGACAAAGUAUGAUCAUCUUAGGUUGAUAUUUGAAAAAGCAAGAAAGUGUAUAUAUGCUGAGCUUUUAAAAAUAUCCUCUUCAAUUUACCUCUCCAAAUAACUUUCCAAAUAACUUAAGACCAUCAACUGUCCAAGCCCCCCAGGAGGUAUCCCACCCACCAGAACCAGUUAGGUCGGAUCAGUCUGAUUCUCUGUGCUCUGAGUCGGUGGGGAACCAGCUUGAGGUAGGCUAAAUGUGCACUAAUCCAUGACAUUAUCUCACAGCAAAGUGUAACCUGUUUGCUUGUUUACAUCCAUGUCUCCUGUUCCUUUUAACUCUGCUCCUGUUCUCCAGGACCUAGUGGUUCUGUCCAACAGCCAGAUGUGGAUCCACCUGAUGUCCUCAAUUACCAACCAACUUUUCAUUACAUGAACUGUACACCCUAUUCACCCACAACUGUGGCCAUGCACACCUCCAACUCAAUCAUCAAGUUUGCAGAUGACACAACAGUAGUGGGCUUGAUUACAAACAUCGACGAGACUGCCUACAGGGAGGAGGUGAUGGCACUUGGAGUGGGGUGUCAGGAAACUCAACUUCAACAAAGGAGAUGAUCGUGGUCUUCAGGAAACAGCAGAGGGAGCACCCCCCUAUCCACAUCGAAGGGACAGCAGUGGAGAAGGUGGAAGGUUUUAUGUUCCUUCGCGUACACAUCACAGACCAACUUAAAUGGUCCACUCACACAGACAGUGUGGUGAAGAAGGCGCAACAGCGCCUCUUCAACCUCAGGCGGCUGAAGAAAUUUGGCAUGUCACCUAAACCCUGACAAUUUUUACAGAUGCACUAUCGAGAACAACCUGUCAGGCUGUAUCACAGCCUGGUAUGGCAAUUGCACCGCCCUCAUCUGCAAGGCUCUCCAGAGGGUGGCACGGUCUGCACAAUGCAUCACCGGGGGCAAACUACCUGCCCUCCAUGACACCUUCAUCACCCGAUGUCCAAAAAAAUCAUCACGGACAUCAUAUUAGGUAGUUGUUGGGGAAUUGUUAGAUAUUACUGCACUGUCGGCACUAGAAGCACAAGCAUUUUGCUACAUUCGCAUUAACAUCUGCCAACCAUGUGUAUGUGACAAAUACAAUUUGAUUACAUCUACAGCUAGUGUUAUUGUGAAGUCCUCAUCUGCUAAGAAGGUAUUCUUGCAUGAUCAUACUGUGAACAUGUGAUACAGUUGAACUAAAAACACAAGCACUGCAAACUCUUUGCAAAGUCCAGGCACUGCUCCUUUCAUUGUGCUGUCUCCCUCUUCAAGGCCCUCUUCCGAGACUGGCUGCCUGUUGAGAACAAGAGACAGGCAGAACCUCUCACCCACACAACAACCACCUCAAUAUUCCAGACAUCGAUGUUCAGUAUUUUAAUCUAUGAUUGCCAUGUGAUUGUACAAAAAGAAUCUGAAAAUAAA